GUGCUCGCUUCAGAAGCAGAUAUACUAAAAUUGGAACAAUUCAGAGCACAUUUAGUGUGGCCCCUGAGCUAGCAUGACAUGCAAAUUCAUGCAGUGUUUCAUAUUUUU
rnacentral:snRNA from 1 species